GUGCAGGUGGCGGCAAUGAUGAUGAACUUUUGAAGAAGUUGAUUGACAGUGUCAAAAAAGAGGCAGCGGCGUUGCAGAGCCAUCCUGGGCCGAGGUUAAUACUCCAGGUGUUAAAACUGAUCUACUGCAUCCUCAGAGGAGAGGGCUGGACUCAUUUGGUGGAUGAGUUGAAUACCCUUCUCAAAGGGAAGAAGACGGUGAGCGGUAGAGAUUUGAUGAUCAGCGAAGAUGAGUGGCUCGAAGCAGAUCUAAAGUCCAGGAAGAAAUUGGCACUUGGACUCUCUUUGGAAAUUUGCACAUCGUUCUGGAGUUGGUUUCCAGACUU